rnacentral:rRNA from 1 species
UGGGGAAUAUUGGACAAUGGGGGCAACCCUGAUCCAGCCAUGCCGCGUGAGUGAUGAAGGCCUUAGGGUUGUAAAGCUCUUUCGCCCACGACGAUGAUGACGGUAGUGGGAGAAGAAGCCCCGGCUAACUCCGUGCCAGCAGCCGCGGUAAUACGGAGGGGGCGAGCGUUGUUCGGAAUUACUGGGCGUAAAGGGAGCGUAGGCGGCUUUGCAAGUCGGGCGUGAAAGCCCCGGGCUUAACCUGGGAACUGCGUUCGAUACUGCGAGGCUAGAGGACGGGAGAGGAGUGUGGAAUUCCCAGUGGAGAGGUGAAAUUCGUAGAGAUUGGGAAGAACACCGGUGGCGAAGGCGGCACUCUGGACCGUAACUGACGCUGAGGCUCGAAAGCGUGGGGAGCAAA